rnacentral:piRNA from 1 species
UUAUUCGCUCUUACGGCACUC